rnacentral:lncRNA from 1 species
AAUGAAUUGAUGAUAAAUGACUUACUCAGUCCUACCCUACGAAUUUGGCAUGAAAACAUGCUUUAAAUGCUAUUUUUUUCCAUUUUGAUGUACUUGUGAUUAUGCAGCUGCCCUCGUCGAGAGAGGAAAAACUUGAUACAAUGAUAUGGAGCCAUGAGAAGAAAGGACAUUACUUAGUCAAAAUGGUUAUUGAGUGGCCAUAGAGGAGCACAUUAUGAUGUGUGAGGAGGGUGCAUGGGAGCAGUUCUGAAAAAUGUUCAACGAAAAACCAAGCAUCUUGUAUGGAGACUACUCAGGGAGGUAGUGGCAACUCGUUAAUUGCUAUGUCAGAGAGGGAUCAAGUUGAUAGAUGAAUUCGACUAUUGCGCCAUGUUUGAGGAAACCACAAUGAGUCUUUUUGUGGAAUGUAAGAUGGCGGGCAAAUGUUGUCGAGUGAGCGACCUUACUAUGUGGGUGGAAAGCAUACAUGCAUUCAUAGUGGACUUUAUAAGCUGGGUGUUUGGAGUGGUCUCAUAAGGAGCUGAAUUCCGCUUUCAGCAGACACUUGCGAUCAUGUGGGGUGUGUGGCGAUAACAAAAUGCGAGGAUUUUCAGGCACACUAUGACUACACCGGGAAGUUGUUGUCCAACAGUUCUUCGAGGAAUUGCUAAGAUUGACGACGGCCACAACACCACUCGUGGAGCCUCAUCAAACUCAAUCUGCUCCGUGCCAUUGAUGGCACCUGCCACCAACCGGUGUUAUCAAAUGCAACAUGGACAUAACAAAGGCCAUCUAUAGCUUUGGAAUGAGGGUAGUGGUACGUAAUGAGUAGGGGUCUUAUAGUACUUGGUGCAAUGAUGACAAGGUGGAUUACCCUUGAGAGAGGGAUAUCAAUCUAUUGUAGACAAUGUUGAAGCCAAUGAGUGGAUUCCUGACAUGGGCUACGAGCGAUGCUAGUAAAUAAGAAGGACAUCAAUUUAUUGGAGUUUGGUACCAUAGUUGCAGCUUGUAGGGCCUUCCUACAAGACAAACCACUUUACAAGAUGUUCUGGAUUAGGAGAAAUAGAAAUAUUUUAGAUUAGGAGAAAUAGAAAUGGGAUGUAACAUUUCAUUCUACUUUGCCAGGUUCAUAUGCAAUGGACAUGCAUUAUUUGGUGAAAAUACGCAUACACUGCAUACCGAAAGACAGAAUGAGAGGGGAGUAGGUGAUAAAAUAGGGACAUGUGAUUGGA